rnacentral:rRNA from 1 species
GACGAACGCUGGCGGCGUGCUUAACACAUGCAAGUCGAACGGAAAGGCCCUGCUUUUGUGGGGUGCUCGAGUGGCGAACGGGUGAGUACCACGUGAGUAACCUGCCCUUGACUUUGGGAUAACUUCAGGAAACUGGGGCUAAUACCGGAUAGGAGCUCCUGCUGCAUGGUGGGGGUUGGAAAGUUUCGGCGGUUGGGGAUGGACUCGCGGCUUAUCAGCUUGUUGGUGGGGUAGUGGCUUACCAAGGCUUUGACGGGUAGCCGGCCUGAGAGGGUGACCGGCCACAUUGGGACUGAGAUACGGCCCAGACUCCUACGGGAGGCAGCAGUGGGGAAUAUUGCACAAUGGGCGGAAGCCUGAUGCGGCAACGCCGCGUGCGGGAUGACGGCCUUCGGGUUGUAAACCGCUUUCGCCUGUGACGAAGCGUGAGUGACGGUAAUGGGUAAAGAAGCACCGGCUAACUACGUG